UACGGAGGGUGCAAGCGUUAUCCGGAUUCACUGGGUUUAAAGGGUGCGUAGGUGGGUUGGUAAGUCAGUGGUGAAAUCUCCGAGCUUAACUUGGAAACUGCCAUUGAUACUAUCAGUCUUGAAUAUUGUGGAGGUCAGCGGACUAUGUCAUGUAGCGGUGAAAUGCUUAGAUAUGACAUAGAACACCAAUUGCGAAGGCAGCUGGCUACACAUAUAUUGACACUGAGGCACGAAAGCGUGGGGAUCAAACAGG
rnacentral:rRNA from 1 species